AGUUGAACGCUUGAUUUUCACCGAAGCUUGCUUCACCGAAAAUCAAGAGUAGCGAACGGGUGAGUAACGCGUGGGUAACCUACCUUUCAGCGGGGGAUAACUAUUGGAAACGAUAGCUAAUACCGCAUAACAAUGUUGGAUGCAUAUUCGACAUUUGAAAGUACCAAUUGGUACACUGAGAGAUGGACCCGCGUUGUAUUAGCUAGUUGGUAGUGUAAUGGACUACCAAGGCGAUGAUACAUAGCCGACCUGAGAGGGUGAUCGGCCACAUUGGGACUGAGACACGGCCCAAACUCCUACGGGAGGCAGCAGUAGGGAAUCUUCGGCAAUGGACGAAAGUCUGACCGAGCAACGCCGCGUGAGUGAAGAAGGUUUUCGGAUCGUAAAACUCUGUUGUUAGAGAAGAACGUUGCAUAGAGUGGAAAAUUAUGCAAGUGACGGUAUCUAACCAGAAAGGGACGGCUAACUACGUGCCAGCAGCCGCGGUAAUACGUAGGUCCCGAGCGUUGUCCGGAUUUAUUGGGCGUAAAGCGAGCGCAGGUGGUUUAAUAAGUCUGAUGUAAAAGGCAGUGGCUCAACCAUUGUGUGCAUUGGAAACUGUUAGACUUGAGUGCAGUAGAGGAGAGUGGAAUUCCAUGUGUAGCGGUGAAAUGCGUAGAUAUAUGGAGGAACACCGGUGGCGAAAGCGGCUCUCUGGACUGUCACUGACACUGAGGCU
rnacentral:rRNA from 1 species